rnacentral:ribozyme from 1 species
UGCCCAGCAACUCCUAUCCCUACCUCCUCGUGGAACUGUCCGGGUCGUAUGCUGACAGGGAAGG